rnacentral:rRNA from 1 species
UACGGGGGGGGCAAGCGUUGUUCGGAAUUACUGGGCGUAAAGGGCGCGUAGGCGGCCUUCUAAGUCGGACGUGAAAUCCCUCGGCUUAACCGAGGAACUGCGUCUGAUACUGGAUGGCUUGAGUUCGGGAGAGGGAUGCGGAAUUCCAGGUGUAGCGGUGAAAUGCGUAGAUAUCUGGAGGAACACCGGUGGCGAAGGCGGCAUCCUGGACCGACACUGACACUGAGGAGCGAAAGCCAGGGGAGCAAACGGG